GAGUGGAACUCCACAGGAAAUAUGUCAGCUCCACAGGAAACACGUGAUCUUUAAGAACGUAAAGUGGGGCUAAUCUUUACGCCGUAAAAUGGAGCUCCACAGGAAACACGCCAUCUACACUGUAUUUGUACCAAGAGAGAGUCUGGACUAAGUCUUCGAAUCUGAAUUGCCAUUACAUUAAAAGGAACGUUGUUUUAUAAACCAAAUUGUAAACAUGGAUCCCCGUUUAAAAGCGGCUUUGCUUUUUCAAGACAAAAUUAUACGGCGGUGCACACUACCAUGCCGGGACAAGGUACAUUGUCACCCGAACUUGGCUUCCUCCCUACAACUGUGAGCCACUUCAAUCCCUUCCUAAUGAUGCAGAGAGGAAGGACAUUAUUGUGUUCCCACUAUGGACUCCUGGGCAUUUUUAGCUUUGUGUAUGUAGGAGCACAUCAAUACCAUACAAUACACUUAACCGAAUAAAAGCCCAAAAGUCUGAGGAUGUUAGGAUUUUAAGAUUUUAUUGUAAUUGUGUCAGUUACAUCUUGGUACAGCUUUACGCAUUUUAAGCCAUGGGCAACUACUGUGAAUCAUUGACUGACUGUUAUUGCAAUGGCAUUGCUUAACACCUUGAGUAACUGUCUCUUAGGUGAUGAAGCCAGGUAUAAAAGAAAUGUUCUUUCUCGACUCAUGAUGUGCUAAGAAAAGGACAUGAUUUGGUGGCCACCAAUAUGUGUCACUCUUGAGGUCAAUUUUCUGUUUAUGUUAGUGUGCAGGAACCUGUUCAGUGUUCCAGGUUAAGUACAUUUUAGAUCACGUUCUGAUCUAUUUUAUUAGCAUGUCUUCAGUUUAUUCAGUGAAUUCACAUGCUUACUUGACAGACCUGUACUGUGGAGUGCAGCCUUUUGAUUAAAAGGUGAUACAUCAGAUGUUAAAUCAGAUAUUUAAAUAAUAGUAUUAAAAUACCUAGAAGAUGAGUUCUGACAGUAGAAUUGGUUUAUCCGAUAUAGUUACCAAAUUAUGUCAUUAAAUUGUCGUUAUAAUUGGGCAGUGCAGUUCAGUCUGAAUAAAUGUGUCAGCUAAAUGCUGUAAAUGUUAAAAUAUGAUGAAACAGAAAUUACAAAACUUCUGUAGAGGUUGAUCAAGACUAAGCAUAUGGAUGUACUUUCGGGUCAGUCCAUGCCAAAUCAACCAGGGGCUCCAUGGGCAUCAUUCCUGAUUUUGAUGAAAACUUGGUAUUUAAAAUUCGAUCCUUAUAGAGAACACUGAAAAUUCCCCAAGUUUUAUUGAAAAAUUCUGAUGCAGUCCAAAGUUAUGGCCCUUUCAAAUUUGGGUGCCACGCCCCUUUUUUGCACUCGCGAAUCACGCAUGUAAUUUGUAAGGGUUUUCAAGAGACCAUAUGUUCGCUUCUAAGCAUGCUAGAGAGCUGAAAAUUGCUCUCCUGGUAUACUUUUCCCUGCUCUUUCAGAAUCUGGCAUUAAAAUUAAGCUCACGGGAAGCACUUCAAAGCUAUGGACUUGCAAAAAUCAGUUUUUGGUUCACUUUGGACUGCAUCUGAAUUUUUCAAUAAAA